rnacentral:rRNA from 1 species
UACGUAGGGUGCAAGCGUUGUCCGGAAUUAUUGGGCGUAAAGAGCUCGUAGGCGGUUGUCGCGUCUGCUGUGAAACUCGGGCUUAACUCCGGCCUGCAGUGGGUACGGGCAGGCUAGAGUGCGGCAGAGGGGAUGGAAUUCCGCGUGUAGCAGUGAAAUGCGUAGAUAUGCGGAGGAACACCGAUGGCGAAGGCAGUCCCUGGCCUGUACUGACGCUCAUGCACGAAGCGUGGGAGCAACAGG